rnacentral:rRNA from 1 species
CUAUGCGCCUUGCCAGCCCGCUCAGGUGUGCCAGCAGCCGCGGUAAUACGUAGGGGCAAGCGUUAUCCGGAUUCACUGGGUGUAAAGGGAGCGCAGGCGGUACGGCGAGUCUGAUGUGAAAACCCGGGGCCAACCCCGGGACCGCACCGGAUACUGCCGGACUCGAGUGCCGGAGGGGCAGGCGGAAUUCCAUGUGUAGCGGUGAAAUGCGUAGAUAUAUGGAGGAACACCAGUGGCGAAGGCGGCUCUCUGGUCUGUAACUGACGCUGAGGCUCGAAAGCGUGGGUAGCAAACAGG